rnacentral:rRNA from 1 species
UACGUAGGGUGCGAGCGUGUCCGGAAGUUAUUGGGCGUAAAGAGCUCGUAGGCGGUUUGUCGCGUCGGCCGUGAAAUCUCCACGCUUAACGUGGAGCGUGCGGUCGAUACGGGCAGACUUGAGUUCGGUAGGGGAGACUGGAAUUCCCGGUGUAGCGGUGAAAUGCGCAGAUAUCAGGAGGAACACCGGUGGCGAAGGCGGGUCUCUGGGCCGAUAUUGACGCUGGAGGAGCGAAAGCGUGGGGAGCGAACAGG